rnacentral:rRNA from 1 species
UACAGGGGGGGCAAGCGUUGUUCGGAAUUACUGGGCGUAAAGGGCGCGUAGGCGGCCUGCUAAGUCGCACGUGAAAUCCCCGAGCUCAACCCGGGAACUGCGUCCGAUACUGGCAGGCUUGAAUCCGGGAGAGGGAUGCGGAAUUCCAGGUGUAGCGGUGAAAUGCGUAGAUAUCUGGAGGAACACCGAUGGCGAAGGCGGCACCCUGGACCGGCAUUGACGCUGAGGCGCGAAAGCCAGGGGAGCAAACGGG